UAGGGAAUCUUCGGCAAUGACGAAAGUCUGACCGAGCAACGCCGCGUGAGUGAAGAAGGUUUUCGAAUCGUAAAACUCUGUUGGUAGAGAAGAACGUUGGUGAGAGUGGAAAGCUCAUCAAGUGACGGUAACUACCCAGAAAGGGACGGCUAACUACGUGCCAG
rnacentral:rRNA from 1 species